rnacentral:rRNA from 1 species
UACGUAGGGUGCAAGCGUUAAUCGGAAUUACUGGGCGUAAAGCGUGCGCAGGCGGUGAUGUAAGACAGAUGUGAAAUCCCCGGGCUCAACCUGGGAACUGCAUUUGUGACUGCAUCGCUAGAGUACGGCAGAGGGGGAUGGAAUUCCGCGUGUAGCAGUGAAAUGCGUAGAUAUGCGGAGGAACACCGAUGGCGAAGGCCAUCCCCUGGGCCUGCACUGACGCUCAUGCACGAAAGCGUGGGGAGCAAACAGG